CUAAGGUCAAGGGUCAUUAUUUGUGAUGACCAAAAUGUUCCAUUCAUUGGGGUGACCUGAGAGCAUCUGGAAGAUUACUCACCAACCAAACUCCUCUCCUGUGCAUGUAGGAUGCUUUAAGUUUCCACCAUUCACCUCACUUGUCUGGACUCAGGAUAUCCUCAUAGGCCCUGGUAGGUGUGGGCAGUGCUCCCCUCACUGGAUCCUGCAUCAGAAUCACCUGCGGCAUCUGUUAAAUUGCAGAUGUCUGGGAGUCCCUUCCAUGAAGAGUCCAAUUUAUGUGUAUGGGCUGGAAUUUAAUGAAAUUUUUAUGUGACUAUCCAAAGCUGAAAAAUCCUGUUCUGGUGUUAAAUAAAGCUAUCAAUGAAUAAUAAUGGAACAGACACAGGUUACCUUGAUGCAACAUAAGGAAUAUUGGCAGAUCAUUAUUAUAAACAGAAAGAUGCAUGCUGAGCAUUGGGGACGACAUAAAAAGAAUAUAAAGCCUUGCUUGUGAUAACACGGAGACAAGGAUGAAUGAUAAACAGAAGUAAAAAAAAAAAAAAAAAUCACCUUAAGUUCCACCAUGGUUGAUGCAGGGUGCAGGGUCACCCAGCAGCACCAAACUUCUCCAUGCCACAGACUAUGGGGGACCACGGCAUGAUGUGAAGAUCUCCCACUUCAAAAUCUGCUUUCUCAGACGCAGCAGGGAGGAGUGCCAUAUUUAGACCAGCAAGCACUUUCCCCUUUCAAAAUGUAAUUGCUCCACAGGCAGGUAGGUACAUAGGCAAUCUUCUAUAUUAUAAAUAAAAGUCAAAUUGCUCAGCUGGCUGUCAGAAAUGCCUCAUGA